CCAGGGUUGUGACAGCAGGGCAUGCCGAGGCUUUGUCGGAAACCACCCCGUCUCCCCAGACCUCCCAGUCCAGUAUGUUAUAACACGGUGAGGCUUCCCUGAUGGGUUUGCCCCAGCUGAGCGCUGGGCUCACUCACUCCUUCAACAAGCACAGACUGAGCUCCAGGACAGGUCUCACAUCAGAAGCCGCAUUCCAACCAGAGCCCGAGCUCCAGGCACCAUGCACCUAGCUGUCAAUGGAAGCAAUAGCCCCACGGAGAAACAGCCAUGAAGCUCCAGGAAGCCCAGGCUCAAGGACUACCACGUUCGUCUCACAAACAGGCAAAACAGGCUGAAGUGGGAACAGCAAGAUUUGACAGAAGACCUCCGGGUCAAAUCAGCCAGGCUUUCCCCAGAAAGGCCCAGUAUGACAACUCACAGACCAAGAGCCCCACCACCCGUAAGUGGUUCUUAAAGCGCACAGGCGUGAGAAAACACAGAUGGAGUGGAACAGGCAAUGUUGUAGCUGUACGCAGAAGACAUCACACCACGCUGGAGAUUUUUAGAAGUCUUGGAAGACCUCAGGAUACAGAGAGGGAAACUGACGCCACACAGAAACUGCUAGUAAAAGUGGAAGCAGGCAAUACUCCCUAGUUUCUCGCUUCUCUAUCAGCCAUCUCCACCCCAAAUACUGCCAGUUUAACUCAGGAGAAAAGCAGCUUGCAAGACACUUAAUGCCAUGUCUUAUGAGACUCAGCAGUGCUGGAUUGCCUCCCUCCCCCCACCCAUGGCAGGGGAACAUCUGUGAACUGGUAGGUGACAGAUCUGGAUGGACUCUACCUCUGCUGUUUACCUUGACUCUGAGGCCCCUGUUCUGACAGUGUUACCUUAGGCACGUAACCACUCUCGCUUUCUGUUUCAGUUUCGCUUUGGUGCAAAGGGAAUAAUGAUCAUCAUCAAAGGAGCUUACCCACCUGACAGCAGAAACGUCCUAACCUCAUCAGGCUCAGAUCUACCUCUUCCCAACCCUGCCAGAGCACGGCCACUCUCCUAAGCACAACCCCAGACUCCACUCCAAAGGUUCCCACCGUGGGCUGCCCAUCUUCCUAUAAAUAUGGAGGCAAUUAGCACGAAGCCCAGAUCUGAAGGGAAUUCUCAGAGCCAUGUUCAUCUUCAUAAUGUUGAAGAAAACCCCCCAGGAGGCCUGAGUCAUUGCUGUGGUAGGCAGACUGCUUCUGGUCUGAUUAACUGAGCUCCACAAGAGGCAUGCACCCUCCUUCCAGACUUGCUCUGAGCCCACACCACUCUGGAGUUCUCUCCAAUGGAGACUUUCCCCGGGCUGCCACUAACACCCCACAAAACAGGAGAAAACUGGUCCUUUCCUGCCAAGGCAUCAGUAGUGUCCAAUGUCCCCAAGUCUGUGCUUCUGAUAAAUUCCAAAAUCAAAUGGCAAGCCAUCACUCCAUCAGCAAAUAUUUACUUUUAUAGGACACCAUGGGAAAGGCCAAGAAGAUUCACUCUAUCCCUUUGCAGCUGAAUCCCCAAAAUGACAUAAGGCUUCCAGAUGUGUGCAACCAUACCACACAUGGGUGGGAUUUCUGGAGGUGACUCCCUUCUGGUAGCCCCACUCUCUCGUCUGAGCUGGCUGCCCUGCCCAACGGGUGUCAAGUGGAUCCCAUCGCUUUAGUUAUAAAGUCAUAAACUCUCAAGGUUGAAAGAAACCUCAAUGAUUAUUUCUCCCACCCCUCCCCGAAUCUACCCCAUCUGCUAUUG